rnacentral:rRNA from 1 species
UACGUAGGGGGCAAGCGUUGUUCGGAAUUACUGGGCGUAAAGGGCUCGUAGGUGGCCAACUAAGUCAGACGUGAAAUCCCUCGGCUUAACCGGGGAACUGCGUCUGAUACUGGAUGGCUUGAGGUUGGGAGAGGGAUGCGGAAUUCCAGGUGUAGCGGUGAAAUGCGUAGAUAUCUGGAGGAACACCGGUGGCGAAGGCGGCAUCCUGGACCAAUUCUGACACUGAGGAGCGAAAGCCAGGGGAGCAAACGGG